GGUCGAUGAUGAUUGGUAAAAGGUCUGAUUGCACUGAAUGUCACAGCUCCUUCCUCCCUCAACUCCCAGCAGCCCCAUUUUCCCCUUGCACAUUUAAGUCGUGUGUAUGGGGUAGUGAGCCGCUGAUAGUUUGGGAUUCUGUCAGUCUGUGUUCCGAGAGUAAGUGGUCCACAGCUGACUGGUAUCCAACAGCACCAGCUUCACAGGAGUAUGACGAGUGGCAGGAAGGGUGUGGCAGUGCAUGAUCUCAAGUUUUCAAUCUGAGACC